UGGCCCGACCCCGACCGUACACGUCACAGC
rnacentral:piRNA from 1 species